AGUAGUUUGAUCCUGGCUCAGGACGAACGCUGGCGGCGUGCUUAACACAUGCAAGUCGAACGGUAAGGCCCCAGCUUGCUGGGGUACACGAGUGGCGAACGGGUGAGUAACACGUGGGUGACCUGCCCCGCACUUCGGGAUAAGCCUGGGAAACUGGGUCUAAUACCGGAUAGGACCGCACCGUGAGGGUGUGGUGGAAAGUUUUUCGGUGUGGGAUGGGCCCGCGGCCUAUCAGCUUGUUGGUGGGGUAAUGGCCUACCAAGGCGGCGACGGGUAGCCGGCCUGAGAGGGUGGACGGCCACAUUGGGACUGAGACACGGCCCAGACUCCUACGGGAGGCAGCAGUGGGGAAUAUUGCACAAUGGGCGGAAGCCUGAUGCAGCGACGCCGCGUGGGGGAUGACGGCCUUCGGGUUGUAAACUCCUUUCACCAUCGACGAAGGUUUUCUGACGGUAGAUGGAGAAGAAGCACCGGCUAACUACGUG
rnacentral:rRNA from 1 species